GGGGGUGCGGGGGUGUCCUCCUCUCGUGUCGUGAGAUUUUGGGUUAACUCCCGUAACGAGCGCACCCCUUGUCCUUAUUUCCCCCCACGUUAGGGGGGGCACUCUAAGGAGACUGCCGGUGACAAACCGGAGGAAGGGGGGGAUGACGUCAAGUCAUCAUGGCCCUUAUGGCCGGGGUUACACACGUGCUACAAUGGUCGGUACAAAGGGUUGCCAACCCGCGAGGUGGAGCUAAUCCCAUAAAACCUAUCGUAUUCCGGAUCGCAGUCUGCAACUCCACUGCGUGAAGUCGAAAUCUC
rnacentral:rRNA from 1 species